rnacentral:rRNA from 1 species
CCAACGGGGACCCUUCAAAACGCUUUGUAAUACCUGUAAUUGUCUGAUAUAACAAGCAAAAAUCAAAACUUUCAACAACGGAUCUCUUGGUUCUGGCAUCGAUGAAGAACGCAGCGAAAUGCGAUAAGUAGUGUGAAUUGCAGAAUUCAGUGAAUCAUCGAAUCUUUGAACGCACAUUGCGC